GAAAGUCAAAGGCAAGGUAUUUGAAAAAAUACUCACGCAAAGCUUCAGAUCUAAGGGGAAACCUAAGAUAGCUGGGCUACCAAG
rnacentral:ncRNA from 1 species